rnacentral:rRNA from 1 species
GAUGAACGCUGGCGGCGUGCCUAAUACAUGCAAGUCGAGCGAAUGAUGAGGAGCUUGCUCCUCUGAUUUAGCGGCGGACGGGUGAGUAACACGUGGGUAAUCUGCCUGUAAGACGGGAAUAACUACGGGAAACCGGGGCUAAUACCGGAUAACAAGAGAAGAAGCAUUUCUUCUUUUUGAAAGUCGGUUUUGGCUGAAACUUACAGAUGAGCACGCGGGGCAUUAGCUAGUUGGUGAGGUAACGGCUCACCAAGGCGACGAUGCGUAGCCGACCUGAGAGGGUGAUCGGCCACACUGGGACUGAGACACGGCCCAGACUCCUACGGGAGGCAGCAGUAGGGAAUCUUCGGCAAUGGGCGAAAGCCUGACCGAGCAACGCCGCGUGAGCGAUGAAGGCCUUCGGGUCGUAAAGCUCUGUUGUUAGAGAAGAACAAGUACGAGAGUAACUGCUCGUACCUUGACGGUACCUAACCAGAAAGCCACGGCUAACUACGUGCCAGCAGCCGCGGUAA